UUCCGGUUGAUCCUGCCGGAGGUCACUGCUAUUGGAGUUCGAUUAAGCCAUGCGAGUCAAUAGUUCUUCGUGAACUAGGCGGACUGCUCAGUAACACGUGGGUAAUCUACCCUCGGGUCAGGGACAACCCCGGGAAACUGGGGAUAAUACCUGAUAGGUGAAGUGGUCUGGAAUGAUACUUCGCCUAAAGCUCCGGCGCCCGAGGAUGAGCCUGCGGCCGAUUAGGUUGUUGGCGGUGUAAAGGACCACCAAGCCUGUGAUCGGUACGGGUGGUGAGAGCCAUAGCCCGGAGAUGGGGGCUGAGACACGGCCCCAGGCCCUACGGGGCGCAGCAGGCGCGAAAACUACGCAAUGCGCGAAAGCGUGACGUGGGAACUCCAAGUGCCUUGCCUUCGGGUAAGGCUUUUGUGCAGUGUAAGUAGUUGCACGAAUAAGAGCGGGGUAAGACCGGUGCCAGCCGCCGCGGUAACACCGGCCGCUCAAGUGGUGACCGCUUUUAUUGGGCCUAAAGCGUUCGUAGCCGGUCCGGUAAGUCCUUGGGUAAAUCCUUCGGCUUAACCGAAGGAAUUCCGAGGAUACUGCCGGACUUGGAGUUGAGAGAAGUCGGAGGUACCUCCGGGGUAGGGGUGAAAUCCUAUAAUCCUGGGGGGACCACCAGUGGCGAAGGCGUCCGACUAGAGUAAGCUCGACGGUGAGGGACGAAAGCCAGGGGCGCGAACGGGAUUAGAUACCCCGGUAGUCCUGGCCGUAAACGCUGCGCGCUAGGUGUUACGUCCUCUACGAGGGGACGUAGUGCCGAAGAGAAGUUGAUAAGCGUGCCGCCUGGGAAGUAUUACCGCAAGGUAGAAACUUAAAGGAAUUGGCGGGGGAGCACCACAAGGGGUGGAGUCUGCGGUUCAAUUGGAUUCAACGCCGGG
rnacentral:rRNA from 1 species